GAAGUGAGCCGGACGGUCGCUGCUGUGGAGGUCUUCGUGACUAAAGCAGGGGAGGAAAGUCCGGGCUUCAUAGGGCAGGGUGCCAGGUAACGCCUGGGCGGCGUAAGCCGACGGAAAGUGCAGCAGAGAGUAGACCGCCUCAUUCGUGAGGUAAGGGUGAAAGGGUGCGGUAAGAGCGCACCGCGUAUCUGGUAACAGUAUACGGCAUGGCAAACCCCACCAGAAGCAAGACCAAAUAGGAAUCCUGAGGUACGGCCCGUACUGGAUUCGGGUAGGUCGCUUGAGCGUAUGAGUGAUUGUACGCCUAGAGGAAUGACCGUCCUCGACAGAACCCGGCUUACAGGCUCACUUCAACA
rfam:Acinetobacter radioresistens SK82 contig00034, whole genome shotgun sequence.